AUACUUACCUGGCAGGGAAGAUACCGUGAUCACCGAAGGUGGUUUUCCCAGGGUGAGGCUUAUCCAUUGCACUCCGAAUGUGCUGACCCCUGUGAUUUCCCCAAAUGUGGGAAACUCGACUGCAUAAUUUGUGGUAGUAGGGGACUGCAUUCACACUCUCCCCUG
rnacentral:snRNA from 1 species